CCAUUCUCCUGGGAAAAAUAAAUAAAUAAAUAGAUCUAGUUGUUAGGAUGUCUAAAAAUAAAAAAUUCUUAGACUUUUAUGGAAAGCUAGACAAAACUAGUAAUAAUAGAAGUUUAAGAACUCCAAAAGAAAAAUAAAUUCUGAUGUCAAACAGCCUUGCUGCUUACAUCUCUGUCAGUGUGGCCUUAUCUCCAUACAAGUAUGGAGUAAAAUCAGCUAACUGAAGUUGGAAAUGACUAGAAUUUUUAUUGCAUAAAGUAAUGGGACUAAAACAGAAAUGAGGAAUACAAUACCUUAAUUGUUACCUUUUUAGGUUUUGAGUAGAGACAGCCAAGAGCUUAUGAAAAUAUAAUUUUUAUCUUGCUAUGCAGUUAGGUUGUUGCUAGUAAUUUUGAACCUCUAGAUGCAGUACAAAGACAUGCUAAUUAAUUUUUAAUUCUUUUUUUUUUCUUUUUCUGUUGUCUCAACGUGUCAAAAUUACUUUUCCUUUAUAUCUGGCUUCUUAAAGAUGUUAAAAAUGCAAGAUGGCAUUUGUUAGAGCGUAGCUAACAAUCUGUAGAAAGCCGUGACUUGCAUUUAACACUUUAUUACUCAGAAAUGCAGACAACAUUAAUGCAUUCUUGCAAAUAGCAAUAUUCAAAUGUAUUUUUAGAGUAAGUUCCAGGCAAUGCUGUAUUUUCUCACUUUCUGGUUUUUAAUAAAGCUCCUUUGCAGAAUAACUACAACCAUUCAAACUAGGAUAAGAUGUGUUUCCAUGGGAUGGAAAGCUGUUUUAGUUUCAGAUAAAUAAAGAAGUUAACUUGGUACCUAUUUAGUUUCUUUAGUGUUGUAAACAGUAAUGAUGUGGUUUGCAUGGUGCUUGACCUGGAGAAAAUUUGGGCUGGGUAACAAUUUCCAUACCCCUGCUCAUGUGAGUGGACUCUAGCUGCAGUUCUUUUCAUAGCAUGCUUUUAAAGUGCUGUUUGUGGUGCCUCAUCUAUCUAAUUUUGAAAAAAAUAUAAUAAUAUAUGUAUCUUUGAUCAUUUGAGCAUGUCCUUUAUCUUGCCUUGUGCUGGUCUUCAUAAAAAUAUUUGUUACUUGUAGAUGUCACAGGAUAUAUUUUGUAUGGAGCAUUCUUCUCUCUGCUAACCCAGGGUUAGGGCUGCCACCUAAUUAAAUAAUCUUCUGUCCUGACCCUUAAAAGGCCAUAAGCAGCUUUUCCCAGCAAAGCAGGUAAACUCUUGGGACAGUGCAGUAAAGCUUGAAAAUAUGCCAUUUUUAAGCAUCUGUAUGUUCUUACUGGCUCCAGUGGUGUUUUGUUUUAAAAUAAAUUCUUAUACUUCUUUAAUGCUCUAGAAGGUAAAAAGGGAAGCUACCUUUUAUGACCUGACUUCGAGGGAACGUACUUUUAGCUACCAGGGGUUGGGGGGAGGGCUAUAUUUUAUCAGCAAAAGAGGAAGGCUAUUUAGGCAGAAAUGAAAGCUACCCUUUCUCAGCAUGUUUGAAUUGCCCUGGUGCUGCAGAUCCUGAAUUGUUAAGUCUGUAAAACUGAUGCACCAUAUUUAUUCAUCUCCUUCCAUUUGUAAUAAUGGGUAGAAUAAUAAGCAAGUCUAAAGAUAUAAUACUGACUGGAACUGACAAAUAGAUGGAAAGAUAAAGUACCUCUCUCGCUGUAUUUCUCUUACACCUACAUCUGUCUUUUCAGUUGAAAGAAAUCAAAAGGAGUCUGCCCUUAUUUUCUUGCAUAUUUGUGAGAGCGUAUAUAAAUUGCCAAGAUUUGGGAGGAGAGGAAGAUAAUACUUCUCAGAUCAAGUAAGCAGAGAGAAAACUGGGGAACUGCUUGCUUGUUGAUCCCUUAAUGAGUUGGGGACAACAUUUAAAUACCAUGCCAUCACCUGUGUGAAAAAUGAAGUUGCCAGAGUUUUCAAGAAAAAAUGUGAUGCAGCAUGAUCACAUGUAUUCAUGUAAAUGAAUGUUUAAAGAUCCCAUCAGCUGAGGAGAUGAGACCACACGGUGGUAGAUGACUGAGACAGCAGAGUGCUGAUCCACUGCAAAAAAAAAGGCUGCUGUCCUGAGAUUGGGUAUUGGGAGCCUGCUGACCAGCAAAAUGAUGAAUUAGGAUUUUGUUCAAAGAUUGCUGGGUUGCAGCUCAUGUAUCAUGACUCCAAGUUCAUGUCCCUCCACUGUUUUCCCUUUGGACAUCUGGACAGAAGCUGAUUUCUAAGACAAGGCACGAUCACACAUGGAUUUGUGCAAUGGAGUGCAUGGCAAGAAUGUGUACGUACCCAUCCUACAUGUGUUUUUUCAGACUGAAAGCCACAGGAGGACUGAUGGGGGGCUAAUACUCGCUCUUUGCUGUGCUGUUCAGAUCGUAUGUCAGUCCUGGAGCUAAGCAUAUUCCAGUGCUCCUCCUUUGCUGGCUUAUUUGUGCCUGAGUGCCUCUGUUUCUGGCAUCGUAGGGCUCAGCUGGCAAGCUUAAUGAAAGUUCUCAAAGUUAUUUUUCUUAACUUCUCAUUUUUAUGGGAAGUUCGUGGAAAAAGACACUUGGUUCAUUUUUACUUAUAAGAUUUUAUUUUUAAAGCAAGUAAGAAUUGAUAGUGGUUUUCAUUAAAAAACAAAACAAAACAAAACCUGCAAGAAGUAGUUUUGCAGCUCUGCUAGGUCAUUAUGUAACUGAUUUUUGUGCCAGAAUGCAAGCACAAAGUGUUCGUUGAUCCCUAGGGGAAAAUAAAGAUUUUAUAAGAUAGGGCAAAUGAUCUGUAGAGGAAAUCUUUUCAUGGUAUUUAAAACAACCCCCUUGGAACUAUUUCCUCAAUGGAUUGUAUUUCAUUUGUAUUAAGAUGGUUAGGUCUGAGUUCUUACAGUUCUAUUUUAAGCAAGGCCAGUAUUAAUCCACAUUUUAGCCUAUUGGGACAAAUUUUUCCCUUGUGUUAACUCCGUUCCUUAUGGGGAGCUCUGUACCUGGAGUGAAUUUGGCACCUUUUCUUGGCUUCUUAACCAUCUGCCUCAAGAGUAGCAAAGUUGAGUGUAAGCGUUGUGCCUUUGAAAAUAAAUACUUACAUAUGACUGUUGCAUUGUGCUGAGAGACAAAACAUAGCCAGCCUCUUGAACAUGGUUCAGUCUGCACCAUAACUGACAGACUCAUGAAGCCAUUUCUUCAUUUUAGUGCCAUUAAAUCUUUGCAGUGCAGGCGCAUAGUGGCUAUACAGAACUGGGACGACUGCAGUUUUGUUUUCACACAGUGGUACUCUUUGCAUUAUUUUCUCAGCUUGCUUAUCAUGUAGUGUUUAGGCAGAGAGAUGUCUCUGAAGCUAGAAGUAAAAAUCAUACAGUUCAUUAGAAAAGGGGACACAACAACAACAAACAAACCCCACCAACUGGACGUAGGAUUGGCCAAGGCUUGUUCUCUACAAAAAGACCCUGGAAUUUGGAAGUACCUUAGGUUACUUGAUUGGCCUAGCAACAUAGACUGAGUGGAAGAUUGCCAUCAGAGUCGAAAUAAUGUAUGUUCUGAUAUUGCAGAAUCAUACUGCCAUUUCUCUGCAGACAAAGCCCUCUGGGGUUCAAAUUAAACUCAUAAUGUUUUGUUUCCAGCUUCUGAGAACAUCUCGUCCCUAUAUGCCACAGUUUAAUGUAGGUAUUAUCACAGACAUUAUCACAGUCCCUUCCUGACAGCAGAAUGGCACCUGACCUUGCAGUUACUGUGGGGAGAAUUGGCAGAAGGUCCAUCUCACCUCCAGCACAGUCACACAGUUCUUACUUGUGCUGUCUUCAUUACCAUCAUCUGAUAGCUUGUUAUUGCUUCUUUCUGAAUGGUUCAGAGGCUGCAGAAUUUACCCAGUGGGGGCACUGGGUUGUUCCUUACUAUUUGGGAUAAGGGCAGUAGCAGUGUUUGUUUUCAGUGGGGGAGAAACAAAGUGCAGCAGGAGAAGUUGCAGAAGUUUCCAGCUCCUCACUUGAGUGUAUCUUAUUAUACAGAGGAGGUCAGGGAGUGUGAGAGCGCUGUGGUAUGUAGCUGUCUGAGCUCUCCAGCACUGUAAUGGCAGGUGCUACAGGACUUCCACCAUCAGCAGUGCUUUCUGUAGUCUAGCUUCCCUUUAUUUUUCUGGUAGCUGGACAUUUUCUUCCUAUUCUACAGCUGGAAUAUGUUCUGUGAAUUUCUUUGCCAUGAAGAGGCAGAGAAGGUUAUAUGUAACCUAUAAGGUCACUGACAUCAUUCAUGGGAUUAUUCUUUGUGAAUGAACAGAAAUAAUCUGUGUCCAUCACUGAGAGAAAUAAUCAAAAAAUUUGGGGUAGGUACAGAGAAGGCAAUGCGGAGAGAGUAGGCGUGGUUCUUUCUGUGUUGGUACAGCCUUGCCUUCCUGAGGCCAAAAGCCAGGUCUCACGGGGAUUUGAAGCCUUAGCUGCUGGCCUCAGGAAGAGAAGAAGAAGAAGCAGUCCAAAGAACGCUGGUGAAAGCUGCCAAGCAUGCAGCAUGCAUCCUGUGGGCAGGAGUGGCCAUCUUCCCUAGCUCGAGACUAGGAUUAGCUGCCUGGCACAAACUUCCCAGUCAUUGCUUGUGAGCUUUGUCGAAAUAAGGGAAAGCAUCAAUGCUCUAAGACUCGUUACACUACUGCUUCGUGCUUCAGGGUUGGCAUACUUCCAGGGCAAUGUUUUGAAUUCUGAAAGCCACGGCACUUAUUUCAAACCUCAGAAAAAGAUUAGCAUUGACAACAGUGCCAUGCUCUUAUUCUUAUGUGGAGGCUCCAGAAAAAUGGAACUGUUCAAAAUAGCACAUACCUCAAAGUUUUACAUAGCAAAUCAGCCAGCUGCUCUUAAAGAAAUGGAAACCAGUUUCUGCUGGCACGUGAAAACCUUGCGUUAAAAAACUUACAGCUUCAUUGUACAGCGGUUUUGUUCACAUCUUCUAUAGGAAGAAUAUAACAAAUGAGGCUUUCUGAAGCUGAAGCCAGUGAGACCUCACUAGCUUGAUCGGUAAUGGUUGGAGACUUUGGCAGUAUUUUUCUUUUCAGCUAUAGUAUGAUGGUAGGAGAUAUCCAAAGCCUGUAGUAGUUGUGCUAAACAAAAAACAAUGCACAGACUCUUCUGAUUUCAUGUAAGCCCUAUGCCAGACUACAACCAUAAUAAUCAUGACUAAUAGCUUGCUCUUGGAUCCUUUUACUCAGCUGUCUGAAAGUGCUAACAGCUACCUAAAUAUAGAUGAAAAAGUAACUCUGAAAGAUUCAAUAUAUUCAUUUCAAUCUUUCUUAUGAAAAUGAAAGCUGGAAACUUUCAUGGGAACACAAGGGACAAAAGAGAAAAAUCUGUAAGGCUUUCAUGUAGAAAACCUUCAGGUAUCAGUGCUUUGUGGUUUCAGCUGGAUUGACACAUUGUCAGCAUUUUCUGACAGUGUGUUGGAUAAUUAUAAAAACUAUCUUUAAGCUUAGUAUAUUGUGUCCUGUUCUGAAUUUUGGAGUUCUCUCAAGAAAUGGAAAUACUAAUUAGAAAAAGGUGUGUAAAGAACAAACUUGUCUGGGGAUUAAAUGCUGCUGAUUAAAUAAUGCAUCAAACUGUCACAGUGACAGUUACUUGAGUUGAUUACCCACAAGCUUUAUGAGAUUACCCACAAGCUUUAUGAACGUUUACCAGAGCUGUCCUGAAUGUAAGAUAUUUCAGAACAUUACUUGGAAAGAGAUGCUUUUUAAAGACAUGGGUCUCCUUUACUAGGAGCAAAUGUUUGUUGAGGAAAGGGAAGUUUGUGGGACUAUGUUCCUUUACACAUAGAGAGUAUCAGUGAUGUUGUCCUUAGCAGUAUAAAUACACAACAAAUACCCCACAAAUAAUCUUUUUAUUAGGCAGGAAUAAUGCGAGGCUAUCAAGCCACAUUCCUUCACCCUUAAAAAUCAUGCAGGGAAGGAGGAAGUAACAGCUGAUAAAAGUUAUUUACCUUCUUUAAUAUAGCUGUUAAGCAGGCUACUUCCCCCACUUCCCCCUGCCUUUUCCUUUUUUUUUUUUUUUUUUUAUUUUAUUUUAAUCGCUGCCGCUGUCUUUAAAAGGGUGGCUUCAGUCCUGGACAGCAAUGUUCAGUUUCAGGGCGCAGAGUCUGCAGGACACGGUUGGUCUGAGUGCUCUCUCCUUCCUUUUAAAAGCAGCUCCAUCUGCCCUCCUUCUUGACCACCCUCUGAACUGAAUUGCAGUCGACGUGCUAGGGGCUUGCUAAGACAUGAGAAAGAGCUGCCCUACCUAUUUGCAAUUAAUGUAGACGUAAGUAUUUACCUUGGGAAAGGUGUGCUUUUCUUUAGCUGAUGAUAACAUCCCUCCCAUGUCAGCAUAGGCUGGAUUUGCUGUAACAUUUCGUAAAUGCUGGAAAGCUCAGAUACUGUAGGCCGAGGAUUUCACAGAAGCUGAACUCGAGAGCUGCAGGCCUGUCUUACACAUUUUAAUUUUAGUAGGACAAAAACAACUGCUAAUUUAUGUAUCAAACACUUCAUGCUGAUGUGCUUCUGUGUACAAACAAAACAAAAUAUACCAAGUGUUGCAGAAGAAAAUAAUGCUUUAGUAGUACAGAGAUGGAACUGAUUGACAGCUGAACAUUUGGUAUUAUUAAUUAUGUCUCUGAAUUAUUAUUUCAGAGAAAAAAUGUUUCUGUAGAAUCAUAGAAUAUCCCAAGUUUGAAGGGACCCACCAGAAUCAUUGACUGAAUCAUCAACUCUUGGCUCCACGCAGGACCCCCCCUCUCCCUAUCUCCAGGGUAGAAAGUGGCAGCUUUCCUCCUAUCAUCAAAGAUUUUAAACUGGACUACUUCAUGGUGACUGUGACCAAAAUUCUUCGUUUUUUGGGAUGGAGGUGGUCGUGAUACAGGGUUAGGCUGACUUGCUAUAGGUGACCCCUCCAAUCUGGAUGGGCCU